rnacentral:lncRNA from 1 species
UCCACUUGUAGCUAAAUGAGUAAUUUCAUUGUGUUCAAAUUUCUGGCAUUUAAUUGGAAAGCCCCUGAGGGUAUGAACAAUGUCUUCUGUGUGUUUGGACUGUCACUAGCACAGAGUGGGUGUAGGAAAAUUAUGAACAACAAAACCAAUUAAGACAAGAAUGAUUUUGCAUCUAAGAUAAAGAUUGGCAUUUUGAUGCUUUUUACCUUUUCCUUCUGCUCUCCAGAGACUGAGAAAUGCAGUGGUCGUCUCUCCUGCUUUCAGUUUCUCCACAGAUGCAAAAAUGUGGAGGAAAACGUUGCUACUUUUCAGCGUCUCAUUUCCUACAAAUCAUUUUUUUCCACCAACCUCCAGAGAUUCUUGGAUGUGUGUGUAAUUUGGAGGGUGAAGAGACCUCGGUGGGGAGGGCAGCCCCUGCUCGCCAGCAGCCAGAGGACAGCGCUGGGAGGAGUGGCAGCCUCUGCUCUGCUCUGCUCUCUCUGCUGCAGAGAUUCCAGCUGCAGGGAUGUGGGGGCAGGAGCUGUGCUGUGAGUGCUCGCAGAGAUGAAUUAUUCCCCUGCAGGCACUUGCCCGGCUGUGUCAGUUUUUCAUGUAGUGCCAUAUGCCACUUUCAGCAGUGUGAUUGGGUUUUGGGCAGUGAAAUUAAAAGGGAAAAACUUGAUGAGUUAAGGAAUAUAAAUGCUAAGGUGGUAUAAAAAGGAUUUUAUAUAAAAUUGAGUAGAAUGAACAAACUAGUGUUAGUAUAACUAUAAGUUGGAAACAGCAAUGUGUAAUGUAGUCUAUCAGUCAUUCUAAUGCUUUUUUCAAAUUUAAUUUUUGUUUUGGUUUAGUACUUCACUAUUUGAGAUGGCUGCCUGGGGGAUAGUUUGUGGGCUUUUAAAUUGCUUGUAUUCAGAAGUGUUAAGAGUUUGCAUAUUUUCCUAAGCUAAUGUCAGCAUGCUUCUGCCCUCCCACACACUGUACAGUGAGCCCAUCGAUCACAGAGAUUUAUCUUUCUUCAAUGGGAUAUUUUAUGCUGCUUGCUCUCUUCAUAUAUAGUGUUAAUAACUUUUAAAUUUUUUUUUUGAUGUAUGAAGGAUUUAAAAUCUGAUGAAAAAACUUUGAAAACUAGUUAAACUUCCAAGGUUUAAAAUACUUUUUUUUGAGAAGCUGUAAGACACUUCUCUGUUUACCACUCAUUUGAAGAGGUUGAAGUGUAGGGUUUCCUGUCUGGUUAACAGAAAUAGUUUAAUUCUUUUUCCUUUGCCACUGAUGAUAUUAUCUGGAGAAUGGCAGAUACACAUAGAUGCACAUGCUCAUCAUCUAACUGUUGAAAUAGAUACUUCUCUUUAUAAAUAAAAUAAAACAUGAUCAUGGCUACAAAGGGAAGAGUUGCAUAAAUGUUCAUGAAGGGUUUAAAAACCCCUGAAGCCAAGUAAAGGGCUAUUUUUAUUUCUUGAAGUGAUGUAGUAAGAGCAAUUUGAGCAUAGCAUUGCUUUGCAACUAAUAUGUUAAGAAUCUGUAUUUUUCAUGGCAGGCUGAUAUAUGAUAACUCCAAGAUCCUGGUUAAAAAAAUGAUAUUUACAGGCAAAUACUUAGGACGGAAGAUUCUAUGUGAUUGACAGAUAAAGUAAUAAAUGCUGAAAACAUUAAUUUCUGAUAUUUGCGUUUAAUAGUUUUCCAUGUGUUUUGGAGAACUUCAGCUUUGUGCUUAGAAUUGAAUAAUUUGGGUGAACAAAGACUUUUUAUAUUUUGUGAAUCUGGUUUAGAAGAAAAUUUUAAAACUUAGUAGUGAACUUUAUAUGGAAAAAAGAAGAGAAAAAGCAGAAGUUAAGAAAAAAGACUUGAACAAGAUUUUGGGUGUGGUAUCUGUGUUUCCUGCACUGGGAAAGCCAAGGCAGCAGUUUACAGUCAUACUGUGUUCCUUUGCAAAAUUCUCAAUCCUUGUCUGGAAGGUUUUGUCCAAGUGUUAAAUCCGUAAUUAGAAACAAGAUUUGAACAACGCCCUUAGAUGAUGUUUCCUGAAUCUGGUUUCUUUACACAUUUGAAUGGGUAUUCAGAAGUAGAUUAAAACCUAGCUAAAAUUACAAGCUUGUAUCUGAAAAGAGCAUAUUGGUUAGGGUUUCUCUGGGACAUAUUUUUAAAACUUUCUUAGUUAAUGGCAAGUUUGAUCAUGAUAGAGGCAUAAUUGUCACAACCAUGGUAUUUUGCCCAUAAAAGGCUUAACACUGCAUUGUUCCUUAAACUCAGAAUGACAGAAUGACACCAAUACUUCCUAUUCAUCUGACUUUAGAUGCUGUUCAGUAUAAAGGGCUUUGUUUGUUGUGCCACUUGAACCUGUAUUAGAGACAUGUAAAUAUUGUUGUCUUGUCAUUUUGUGGAUGGGAUGAAAUGUUUGCUUUUGGGAGAAGGCAGUUCUUUUGCUUUGUCAAAGGACAAGGGAAGUGCAGAAAUCUGCUUAGUAUUUAAAUACUGGAUGCUAAAUAUUUAAUUUAACUGUAUUGAGAUAGUUGCACUUGACACAGAGAAGCCAUGUUGAUGAUGAUUAUAGGCACGGCAUUAUUUCCUUCAGAACUUACAAAGAAAAGCUUAACAUUAUAAGGCAGCUGUUUCCAGAAAUGAAAUUGAGUUGUUAGGGAACAGUGAUACUUUUUAUAUUCUCAGGUUAAGAUGCAGUACAAAAAAAAAAAAAAAAAAAAAAAAAAAAAAAAAAAAAAAAAAAAAAAAAAAAAAAAAAAAAAAAAAAAAAAAAAAAAAGUAAGAGUGUUUUCUGCUACAUUGAAUGUGUUUGUGUUCUGUUUAAAUGCAAAAUAAAAAAAAGUAGCUUCAUAAAGGUAAAGGACAAGGGUUGUGUGAUGAUUGCAAACUUACCUAGAAAUCUGGAAGUCUAUGGUGAGUUUGAAAUAAUGUGCCUUUAGAGUGUCAAGAGGGAAACAGUUACUGUAACUUAGUCUUGCUGGCAGGAGCUGAUCCUUUAUACAUCCUGUUCCUGAUUUCUGGAGGUCUUUUGCUCCUGGGCUGUGUUUGCUGUUCGUGUUUCGCUCCAAAUAGCUGGCACUGCUGAAAGCAUCCUUGCUGCUCCUGGUGGCACUGGCAGGCUGCUCCGUGGGCACACUCACCAUCCAGCUGCUGGGCUGCCUCUGCAGCUGGCAGGAAAAGCUCAUUGUGCAGGUCGGACAGGGAGGAACCCCAUGAGAUUUUCAUGCCAUUCAAUGUAGCAUCAGCUGUUGAUUCAUCUCUUUGUGUUAAUUUCAAGUAUUUCAGGUUUGUUAAAGUAAAUGUAUUGCCAGUUCAGGAAGCUAAACACAACUAGGUAUGCCCUUACUCUGUCCUACUAUCUUCCUGUUGGCUUUGUGUUGGAAUCUGUUUGGAUUUUGUUCAACUCUUGUCCUGUUUUUGAAGAAAUGGGUUUGACAAGUGUGGUGAUUUUUCCCUGUUUUUCUGUUCACAACAAAAUUUAGCUCCUAAGAAAAAAACCCCCAAAUUCUCAAAGUUAGAUCCCUGUCACCUGUGGACACUUUGAAGUAUUAUAGAUUUGGGGGUAGAUUAAAUUUUCAUUUUGUGUAAACAGAAUUCUGGCUAAAGACCACAAUUGUACUAGGUUGGUAUCAUACAGUAACUCAUAGAACUGACAAUAGUUAACAGUAUUGUGACACAGCAGAGGAAAUUCUGAUGAAUUUUGUGUCCAGGAAAGACUUUUGCUGGUAUUCAUCCUCUAGGUAACUUUUCUCUCUAAGAAUACUGCCAGAUUAACAAGAACUUCAGUUUCCUAGUAGCAGAUGAACUUCUGCUGUCACAUCAGAGGAGGCUGUGAUAUUGGUGGUUCUGUGCCAGGACAAGUAAAGCUUCCUGACACCAAACCUGACUUAGGUGGGGUUCUGAGCAUUCAGUUUCAAUCAGGCAUUUUUAUUUGGUGCAUCUGAGUAAACCCAUUUUAGCUUCUGGUAAUGGGUGUAUUACAUGCAGUGUAAGUAUUUGUUUCCAUCUGCUUUAACUUGGGUUUGGAGCCCUCUAGCACCUUACUAGUCCUGGUCUAAAAAUGUUUUUACAAGUGUCAGGCAAGAAAAAAAAGUCAGAACUAGAAUAUAUAAUUAAUAUGUAAGUGUUUUAAGGAAUUUAUAAAGAAUUUUUUUUGGUCUUGAUAUAUUGUGCUGUAUGAUACAAAGAAUUAUUUGAAAUAUACAUUUUUUAUAUUCUGGUUGCGAUGUUAGAAAUCAAUACUAUGACACUGCUUGACCAAAAAAAAAGCUUGAGAUGACCACCCCUCAAGUGCCUGAGUGAAAAUAUUUUUCAUUGGCAAUAAAAAUGUUAAUAAACAAAAACUUGUCUUAAACUGUGUGGCAGCUAGUGAUAGUGACUCUCUUCUUUUUAAAUAAACAAUAUGGUGUGAUGUUACUAGACACUGACAGAUACAGCAGACUGUCAUUGAGAAUACUUGUCAGGUCUUGCAGUCCUUGGAGGGAAUUUACAUUGUGUUUUCAACAGUGAGCAAAGCAAAAGUCAUCUCAGUUCCUGGUACUGGGGAAAGUGAUGCAGGACAGGGUAAACCAGAGCAAACAAUAAUAAAAAUAAACUAAACUACCAGAAUUUUCAGCGGAAGUGAAGUAGGAUGAAGCUUGGAAAUAAAAAGGUAGUGAAUUGUGUUGCUGUGGUCAGCAGAGCUCUUGAAACCAGUAAAUCCAUGAGGAUGGGCAUUACUUACAGAGUAACUACAGAGCAGUACUUGCUCUGUAAGUGCUGGGGAGCAUGAACUUGCUCUGAUCAUAUAUCAUCUGCUUCCUGCAGUUUAAAUAGAUGAGAAAGAUCUGAAACUGCAGUGUGCAUUGAAGAUUCAAAAAGAAAAAAAAAACAAACUUGCUUCCAGCCCUAAAUUACUUCAGUUCAAUCUGCAGGUUUGCCUGACUCUCCUCAUGUGGUAUUGCAUGUCUCUCAGCUUUGAAACACUGAUUUUCUCUGCAAUUCCCAGAAAAAAUUUUGAUAAUGACAUUGCUCUAAGAGAACCC